CUGCUCUAACCAGCCACCAGCAGUUUGUUGAUCAUUCCUGGUGGGAAGGAGAGUACGUGUUAAUGUUCAGGCGAUAGGCAAACCUCUUUCAAGAGUAAUUACAACAUCGUGAGAAUUAUGAGUAUUAGUGCCACAUUGGCAUUUUGUUGUUCUGAAGACAGUAAAGAAGAUAUUUUAGACGCAAUGCCGGGUUUGAAUUAUGAUAGUGAACAGAUUGAGGCAUGCCCUCAGUUCUGUAUAACACUGGGGGUAGGGCCUCAGUGGUGGUCCUGAUGCCCCCCAUGCCGCAUGUAGUGUGACACCAAUUAGCACAGAGGGCAGCGGCGUGGGGAAACCAAAGGAGCUCUCUGUGAGCCAACCACGCAACUACAACAAAAUUGUUACGGAGAAGGAGUUACUGGAAGCAGCUGGGCAGCAUCCAUCUCUGCGCUUGACGUUCGUGCUUCGACUUACUGAGAACAUUGAGGUGAUUUUGGAAACGGUGCUAUGGCAACACCGACUUUACAUCCAGUUCCCAUCAAGUUUUCUGUCUGAGGGCUCCAAGCAGGGGUUUUUGGCUAUGUUGGAAUAUGCAGAAGAAGUACUCAAGUGCACCGACGUCAUUGUGUGCUUCAAGAAAGAUUGCAAUGACAGAGCACUGAUAGUGCGAACAUUCAUGUACAUGGGGUUCACUACAUUGCCGCCAGGGCACCAGCUGAUACCUGGUAACACCGACACUGGCAUUAUGUACAUGCUGUGUUCCAUCGAGUAGCAAAGACUCAGUCUCAGCAGACAGAAGUACCCUUUCAGAUGUCGUGCCAAACAAUGGAUUUAUUCUUCUCUUGCCACUUCUAACGAAGAAAAUUGUUACAUAUGGCUGAGUGCAAAUACUGGCUUCAAAGGCUGUUUUUGAUCUCCAAACAUUGAAAUUGUUAGUUCUGAACUCAAAGAAAAUUCAUUCUACAAUAGACAUGCUUAAUUGUCUUAUAUUUCAUAAGAGCAUCAUUUCUUCUGGGAAUUGCGUUUUAAUAUUGUAACUAUUACAGUCACAAGUUUGUGGAAAAUGUUUGAUCGUUGCACAUCCUUUUAAUGUUUCAGCUUUGUUUUAAAUUCUGUUCGUUAGGUAGUAAAUUCAUUUUAAAAAUGUGUAUAUUUGUAUUGAUAAGCUAAUGGAAUAUUUAUACAUGUUUGUUCUUGUAAUAGAUGUUGACAUAAGUAGGAUUUGAGGUUUUUUACAGCGGCGAGUCUGAAGAUGGCU